UUUCUCAUGAAAUAGCUGAACACUUCAGCAUUUCCCACGACACAUCUCAAACUUGCAUCUGAUUCCUAUCAGCCGUUUGAUGUCAGCAGGAGGACACAAGACGUGGCAUGUCCGAUCCCAAAACUGCAUUUCAAAAGAUGAAACGUCUGAUCGUUCUACUGCUCCGUUAUGCUCUCAUCCAUUUGUGCUCACACUGAGCCCAUUAAGAGAAGAUUUAAAGCUUCAAAAGGGUCUAUGUAGGUUAACCGUGGGAGUGACGUAUAUGGGAAUAAAAUGCAGUGAGCAGAUACGGGCCAAACUGUGUCCUGGUUGUCGGAAUGGUGUCUGGAGCCAAACAUGAAGUGUGAUUGAGUGUCUGUGUCACUGCAGCCUCGGUACCAUCUGCUGCCACUCUCUCUCUCUCCCUACCAGGUAUUAAUGAACCUGGGUUAAGUACAGUUUGACCCUUUUUAGUCUGGGUUGAUUUGAUGAGAAAAAUGGGUCAGUAGCAUAAUUCUUUCUGUCCUGUAUUGUGUUUUACCUCUAUUGUCUUGGUAUCUUGCAUUGCAAAACAUGUAAUACUGGAUUAAGAGCUGUGUUGCUUACUAAACCUGCAGCAAUUGUUGUCAUUUCAGUAAAGAGCAAAGUGUUAUUAGCACUUA